CGGAGGGGCGGAGUUCUCUCGCUGUGCAGAGGGUGGGCGAGCAGGUAGAGGGGCUCUCACCGCUUGGGAACGGUGUUGGUAGCACAGCUGAAGUGAAAGGGCAGGAAGGAGGAGAGGGCACUGCGGAGCGGUUCUCAGGAGGUGAGUCAUCUCAGCGUGGUAUCUACAGGGACCAGCUUUGCUGGGGUGGAGAGCAGCUUGCACCCUGCUAAGAGAUGAGGCUUGCUGAAUGGCAGAUGGCAGCCCCUGCAGCAGCCCACCAAUGGCCUUCUCAAGGACCUGGAGAAGAAUGAGGCUCUAACGCUUGGCUACAUUCACCUGCUUCCCAGGCCACGUAGCUGUGUCCUGUGUUAGGUGAAAGGAGCCUACUAUCUCCACAGCAAGCCCCUGAGGACACUGACCACACGUUAGCUGAGCAAACAUGGACACUUCAUUGUCUGUUUGGGCUUUGAGGUGCAGAACUGUAUUCAACACUCCCGUGAACACAUGAGAAACUCCUGUCCUUCUAGAGAUGCUCUGCUUGGCUAUUUCUGAACAUCCUGCUUGAAUCCUUAGGCUGGGACAUGUGUUAAAGAUCCCAGACUGUAAGACAUGCAAAGACUAGGAGUUCGCCAAUGGGAGAGGGGAAGGAAGGAACAGAAGCAGAAUGGCCUGUCUUCCUGCAAAAAUAAGAAUAAUGGUACUAGAAUACUGCUUCUGCCUUUACAAAAUAACACACUACUGAACAGAAUAGAAAAAAAAUAAAGAAAAUCAUUGCUAGGCAAAUGUCUGCAUUCAAGGGAGUGGAAAACUGCUAUGAUGGCAUUGAUUUUUGGGAAGCAUUAAGAUGGAUUGAAUUGACAUUUUUGAUUCUUUGCUUGCUAGAAGUUUUACACAGAGGUGGUUCGGAGUGAUUGCAGUAAAUCCUGGUGCACAGAGGCUUGGUUGCAUAGGCUCCUAAGUACCCAUCUGCAACUGCUUGCCUCAAUUAAGCUCCUCUACAUUUUCCAAGUGUUUUCCAGCCAUGCCAGGACAGUAGUUAGUUAAUGAUUGAUUUUCAUUUGGCAGUUUGCCAUGUAGUCAGUGACAGACACCAGAACUCUUUAACACAUUUAAUGGGAUUUUCCUUCCAUUUACACUAUCAUAAAUUACAAAGCAUAUUUCACUUCACAAAAUAAAACCAUUUCCAGAUCAUUUUUAUGACAGUAUUAAGUAGUACAUAACCUACAACAAAUAGUCCUGUACAAGUCAGGAGGAUCUAUAGAAGUAUUGGGAACUCAGACUAUUUAGCAUUUGCUCUGCAAUCUGGAUUAAUCUAUCUAGCCCUUAGUUAUUUCUCUAGAAGACAACAAUUUUACAGUAAUACCCUCCACUUCCCUUCAUUAUCAUAGUUACACGUAUUUUUUUCAAUUUGAAUAGAAACAUGUGCUCCCUGAAAUAAUUCAGGAAACUGAGUUACCCACUAUAUCAUACAAAUGACCAAGAGGAGGGAUUAUUAUAUUUCCUUUUGUAUUGAGAAUUGAGUUUGGUAGUAAAGUAUGCUGAUUUUCUAUACUUGCAGAAACAUCUCAUGCUGAGAAACAGUUUUAACAUUAGGGAUAAGUUGCAGUUAGACAAUGAACUCUGUAGUCAAUGUUUGUGAGGGGAGAAAAAUAUUAAAAUUUGGUAAUAAUUAAAAUUACCAACUUCCACA